GCCCUACCUUAGAAGCUGUAUAUAUAAACAUACGUCAUUGUGAAAUACAAGCAAGAAAACUAUCUACCCUAAUUAAUUUGUCAUGGUAUCGGAGCUAGCAGCCUAGCAAACCAUACUCACAAUUUUUUUUUGCUUCUUUAUUCUACCCGUCUUCUUCCUCUCAAGCAAUAUUUGCCAUCCAAACUGACCAUCCCAAGCCUCAUUUUGAGAGGCCCGAUAAGUCACAACUUACUUGCACCCACUGCAAGUGUGACGACCAUGAUAACACUACUUGUUUCAAGCUCCAUGGCUACCCGGAGUGGUAUGAAGAGGUGAAGAAUCGUCGCUCUAAGGGAGGCUCUUCCAAGGGUGGUACGGCUUCUGGUUCUGGAGGUCGGGGUCGCGGUAUUCCUGCACGGGCUAAUGCCGUGUCUAGCAGCAACAUCGUAUGGGAGGGCAACCCUACUUCUGAUGAGAAUCUCUCAAACGUUGUUGUGGAGUAUACACCUGAGCACAUACGUGCAUUACUCAAUAUGCUCAAUAAUAAAAACUCCAAUAUGGACAAAAUGACAGGACCAACAUUCGGGGAGCCUGAUUGGGGCCGGUUAGCGGAAGGAUGGACUCCACUAUUUCCGGGAAAUACCUACAGUGUGUGCGGUGACAGUUCCUGGAGUAUCUACGUUUCAAUUAUGGCAUCGUCGACUGGGGCAUCCGUCUGAUAGAGUUCUCAAGUUAGUUCCUGCUAUUAAGAAUUGUACUCGUAAUAUUCCAAAGAAAUUAAAUAAAGCAUGUGGAAUUUGUCCACAAGCUAAGCACAUCGUGAAAGUUUUCAUGUUAGUGAUAGCAAAGCCAUAGAAUUUUUGAAUUAAUACAUUGUGAUUUAUGGGGGCGAAACUCUAUUCCUUCAA